CCCUAAACAGAAAACCUCUACGGUGAGGUAUGUGAACUACUUGUUCACAUGGUGCAUUCAGAGAAGGUAAUAACAGCAGGUUAACAGGGUUGAUGUACAGUUAAAUGAAAAUAUAUAGAAAUUAGAAGUGUGUGUGUGUGUGUGUGUGUGUGUGUGUGUGUGUACACACCAUCAGAUGGCUCUGUAAUUGUGUUUGUGGCUGUUGGACUCGGACUUUUGGCACUUGCAGCUCUUCUCUCUGUACUCUUCUGGCUGAGAUGGAGGAGACAGAAGAAUAAUCCAGAUGAAGGUUACUAUCAGAACGUUGGGCUGAGGGCUAAAGACGAAAUGUAUGCAGCUCUCGACCCUGCAGGCCGGAAACCUGAUGAUGUUUAUUACACACUUGCAGUAGCCGUUACUUAAAACACACAGUUACUUUUGGAAUAUAUUAAUUUAUGUACUGUAAAAGGGACCCCAUUAUGGAAUAUACAGUAUGUUUAUAUAUGAAAAGUGUAUGAUGAUGAUGAUGAUGAUGAUGGCUGACAAAAUAAUAAAUAGUGAAACAUU